rnacentral:rRNA from 1 species
UAUAAAGUCUAAUCUGCCCAAUGAGUAAUUAAAUGGCCGCGGUAUUUUGACCGUGCAAAGGUAGCAUAAUAAUUAGUUUUUUAAUUGAAAGCUGGAAUGAAUGAUUGGACGAGAGAAUUUCUGUCUCAAUUUAGUUUUAUUUGAAUUUUAUUUUUAAGUAAAAAAGCUUAAAUAUAUUUAAAAGACGAGAAGACCCUAUAGAGUUUUAUAGAUAGUUAGAUGAUAGUUAAUAGGUAUUUUUUUAUUAAUAUUUAGUUAUUUAUUUUGUUGGGGUGAUAGAAAAAUUUAAUUAACUUUUUUUUUAUUAAUACAAUUAUUAUUGAGUAUUUGAUCCAUUUUUUUUUUUGAUUAUAAGAUUAAAUUACCUUAGGGAUAACAGCGUAAUUUUUUUUUAGAGUUCUAAUCGAAGAAAAAGUUUGCGACCUCGAUGUUGGAUUAAAAUAUAUAUUUGGUGUAGAAGCUAAAUAAUUAGGUCUGUUCGACCUUUGAAAUUUUACAUGAUCUGAGUUUAAACCGGUGUGAGCCAGGUUGGUUUCUAUCUUUAAAUUAAUAGAGUAUUUUAGUACGAAAGGACCAAAUAUUUAUAAUAAUUAUUGAUUAUUGAUUUAUAUUAA